CGCCCCAGGGGAGCGACCGGCGGCGGAGCCGCAGCUUCACCCGGAGGAGGCGGUGGCGGGACGCGAGCCCUGAGGCGGCCGAGCCGCUUCCUCCUCCUCCCUCCUCCUCCUCCUCCUCUUCCUCCCCCCCAAGAUGGCGGCGGACCCCGCGGAUCAGUUCUGCGUGGCCGAGGAGCGCAGCGGCCACUGCGCCGUGGUGGACGGCAACUUUCUCUACGUGUGGGGCGGAUACGUGUCCAUUGAAGAAAAUGAAGUUUAUCUGCCCAGCGAUGAGCUCUGGAUCUACGACAUGGACAGUGGGCUCUGGACAAUGCACCUGAUGGAAGGGGAGUUACCCACCUCCAUGUCAGGCAGCUGUGGGGCCAGCAUCAAUGGGAAGCUGUACAUUUUUGGGGGAUUUGAUGAUAAAGGAUACAGCAAUCGGCUGUAUUACGUCAAUUUGAGAACAAAAACCGGAACCUACAGGUGGAAAAAAAUCACAAAUUUUAAAGGUCAGCCUCCCACACCCCGUGACAAACUUUCCUGCUGGGUGUACAAAAACAGGCUAGUUUAUUUUGGAGGUUAUGGCUGCAGGAAGCACAACGAGCUCAGCGAUUGUUUCGACGUCCACGAUGCAUUUUGGGAAGGGCAGAUAUUCUGGGGAUGGCACAAUGAUGUUCAUGUGUUUGAUACAACCACACAGACUUGGUCUCAACCAACAAUUCGAGGUGGAGAUCCACCUCAGCCUCGAGCAGCUCACACGUGUGCUGUGCUGGGAAAUAAAGGUUACAUCUUUGGAGGACGAGUGCUGUUCACCAUAAUACAAAUCUUCCCAGGGAAAAGGCUCUGCAAGGAACCAGAAAGGGCCAGGAAGUGUCAUGAGGCUUCUCCUAUUCAUCUUUCUGGGAGGAAAGGGCACCUUUUUCCAAACUUGGAGCUAGAACUGGUAAAAGAAGAUGAUGAUGAUGAUGAUGGUGAUGAUGAUGAGAAUCAGUUGUACCAGGAAUCAUUUGAAAACAGGCUCAGAAGUGUUAUGUGGACUCAGUUCCUUCAGGUAAGCCCCUGGAAAAACAGAAAUGGGAGAAAGUGGGAAGGAAGGAGAGUUAGUCCAGAAGUUGAUGCGAGUCUUAUGUUUGAUUUAAGUGGAAAAUUUUCAUGUUGAGAAUGAAGUGAAUAAACCAAAGUCUUUGCAGCAGCUCUUCACACAUCUGGUGCCUUAAUGUAAGCAUGUUUCUAUUUCCUGUCAGCUAAGCUCAGAAGAUCCGUGGAGCUGCAAUCCUUCUCUUGGCAAAGCUUGGAGCUGGACUAGCUUUUGAUUGUAAAUCCAGGAGGGAGAGCUGCAGAAUUCCCUGUCCCAGCAGGGAGCUGGGAAUAAUGUCACCCUUAAAGCCUCUCAUGGUGCUAAUCCUGAGACCAAGCAGCUCCUGCCUAACGUGCACUGGGCUGCCAAGACAUCAACUUGCCAGAGAUGAGCAGAGUGCCUCAGGAGCCCUUGGAGCUCCGAGGGAAAUUCCAACCCUCCUAGGAGGCUUGGUGCUCUUAAGCCUAUUAAAAAUCAUUUCAGGAUUGGCAGCAGAAUGAUGAAAUAGAGGAGGACAGAGAAGUGCAUGAGAAGCUGCAGGAGAGCUGUGUGGCAAGUGAUGGUCCUGUAAACCUGUGUGGCUCCAGCUUCCCAAAGAAGGGUUGGGUAGAAAGGUGCUUUUAUUUGUUAAAGGCCUCAGUCUUGGACAGUUGGUGUUUUGAAUUCACAAUGAGGUUGCUGUAAUUCUGCAUCUGCCCAGCUGUUGAACCAUGAGAAUGCAAAGAUUUUUUGAUUUCCCAGGGAGCAGGAAAGAGAAUUUCUCCAUCUUCUGCCCAAUGCCCAGGAAAGGAAAGUCAGCGAGGAGGUCUUGAAAGGAUCCUCUUGAAACCUUAAUUUUCACCAUAACAGCAACUUCCUUUGAUAGAUAUCCUUUAUAUCAAAUUGUGUCACUCCAACGUGAUUGAGUAUUUCCAGUUGUAGAGGCCAGGAUGUUGGGUUUGCCCCAAAUGUACAGAAGAUCCCAACUGCAUUUUGCUUUCAGCUUGGAUGAUUUGAUCCCCUCAUGCCCUUCAAAGGCACCAGGAGCAGUAGGAAACUGGAGAGAGGUGUCAUGGAAGACAGAUCUGUUCCCCUGGCUGUCAGCUGGACCACACUUGGUUGGUUUUAGGUUGUUUUUAGGCAAUGCCCCAAACCCUGACAAUCUGCUUGUCUUUAUCCUGUUGCCCUCCCCAAAAUGCUCUUCCCAUUCCCUUCCCAGCCCAGCAGGGUUAGCAGUGCUUGGCAGAGGAGGUUGUAGAAUUCCUGAAAUCCCUGAGAGACUUCCCAGAGCUCUGCUGGGCAGCUCUGGGGGUCCCUCAGCCUCACUGCUGGGGUACAAGCACUCCUUUCAGCCUAGUUCUGCCUCAGAGGAUCUGCAAGCUGGAGAAAGGCUUUUUCUAAUAGAUCUAUGGACUGCCCAGGGAGAAAAGGAGUUGGAAGCAAACCAGAAUGAAUGAUUUGCACUGCCUGAAUUUAGACACUUGGACUUGGUCUGGAAGGAUUAAUAUCAGUGGAGAGAAGCCCAGAGAUCGCUCCUGGCACACGCUGACCCCCAUAGGGGAUGACAGACUUUUCCUUU